rnacentral:sRNA from 1 species
CUUCACAAUGAAAUGUAUUUGACGGGGCUGGGUGAAGUGGCUCAAGCCUGUAAUCCCAACACCUUGAGAGGCUGAGACAGGAGGAUUGCUUGAGUCCAGGAGCUCGAGACCAGCCUGGGCAUAUGCACUGGGCUCAGUUCCUCUCAUUUCCAUCGCGGGAUAUGUUGAUAGAGACAUCCAGCUACUCUGUCAGUCCUCGGGCUGGUUCCCCCGGCCCACAGCGAAGUGGAAAGGUCCACAAGGACAGGAUUUGUCCACAGACUCCAGGACAAACAGAGACAUGCAUGGCCUGUUUGAUGUGGAGAUCUCUCUGACCGUCCAAGAGAACGCCGGGAGCAUAUCCUGUUCCAUGCAGCAUGCUCAUCUGAGCCAAGAGGUGGAAUCCAGGGUACAGAUAGGAGAUACCUUUUUCGAGCCUAUAUCAUGGCACCUGGCUACCAAAGUACUGGGAAUACUCUGCUGUGGCCUAUUUUUUGGCAUUGUUGGACUGCAGAUUUUCUUCUCCAAAUUCCAGGGUAAGCAAGAGAGAGAAGCAUGGGCCAGUGCCUUAUUCAUGGUUCCAGCAGGGACAGGAUCAGAGAUGCUCCCACAUCCCAGCUGCUUCUCUUCUUCUAGUCCUAGCCUCCAGGGGCCCAGGCCCAAAAAAGUAAUCAUCCUUCUCUAGGGUAUUCUAACAUCUCUUCCUCUGGAAAUAUCAACUACGACAGGCCCUUGCUACUUCAUUUAGGUCAAAUAAUAAGGGGAUGAAUGAUUUUCAGUACCUAUAGAGAGAGCUUGGAUAAUUUUCCAUGAACACCACCAAGACUCCUAUUAAAAAGUUUUAAUGUGGUGAACAAAUUCAUAAAGGAGGAAGCAAAAGUGACUGACAAUAAGAUAAAAUUAUAUUCAGUCUCAAUAAGACUUUUCACCCCCAAAACCAAUUUCCUCCUCCUUGGGAGUGACACUUCCCCUUGGGGGUGAGGCCACCCCCGCCUCCCCUCCCAGCCGCCUUCUCCCAUCUCCAUCCCCACCUCCACAGCAUCCCAGCUGUUGUCCCUCUCCUUAGCAUGCACCUUCCUGAUCUCUUGCUCCACCCCAGAGAGCCACACUCCGUGCAGGGGCUGGGGAGACGAGCACAUAUAAGUGUCCUAGGAGAGGCCCUGCCCUUCACACCUGCAGCUCGUCCCACCUGUGCAAGGAGCCAGCGUCGUGUUUGUACCUUGCACACUCCUGUGUCCACCACUGAAUAUACUGUUUCUGUUUCA